UUGGACCUGAUAUCACGCAAGAUUACCCGCUGAACUUAAGCAUAUCAAUAAGCGGAGGA
rnacentral:rRNA from 1 species